AAAUCUUGCUCUGAUACCA
rnacentral:miRNA from 1 species